UAAAAAUAUUUACAGCCAUAAAAUUUCCUUUAAUCAAUUGGAUUUUAAUGAAGCUUAGAAAUUAGACAUUUAAAAUUGAUUUUUCUUCUCUAAUGUGCCAUAUAUCCUUUAUUGGCUGACUUUACUAUCUAAAUACUAAAUCUGACUUAUGUAGCUGUAUUUCAGGGAUCCUAGCUCCAAAAUGGAAGUCAUAAAGACUUCCACAAGAGCAGUUUUCAGUGCCCUAUCAGAGUGGAUUGAAGUGUGAAUGAGAGUUAAGGAAGCAAAGGCAAAGAGUGGGAACAUUAUUUGUAUUGUGAUCCUGUGGGAAAAAAGAGCAAACAAAUAGGGAAGUAGUGGCGGCCGGGCACGGUGGCUCAUGCCUAUAAUCCCAGCACUUUGGGAAGCCGAGAUGGGUGGAUCACAAGGUCAAGAGAUCGAGACCGUCCUGGCCAACAAGGUGAAACCCCGUCUCUACUAAAAAUACCAAAAUUAGCUGGGCAUGCUGGUGCACACGUGUAGUCCCAGCUACUCGGGAAGCUGAGGCAGGAGAAUUGCUUGAACCCAGGAGGCGGAGGUUGCGGAGAGCCGAGAUCGUGCCAUUGCACUCCAGUCUGGGUGACGACAGCGAAACUCCGUCUCAAAAAAAAAAAAAUAGGGAAGUAGUUGGAAGGAGCUAUAGCAUCUAUAAAAAAUAGGAUUCUUUUAAUCAUGGAAGAAACUAAAGCAUGUUUGUGUGCUGCUGAAGGUGACCUGGUAGAGGCAAAGGUUGAAAGUGUGUAGGAAGUAACUCCAGUCCUAGAGUUCCUGUAAAGGUAAGAAGAGAUCCAGAGAUCAAAUGGACAGGAAGAAACAAAUUUGGGAGAGCCAGAGGUAGAUAGUGAAAGAAAACUACUGAAGUGACCGCAAAACGCAUAAAUGUAUUGCUCUAAAUUCACACAAAUUGUAUCCCCAAUUCAACUUCAAACAAGCCAGAUCCUAAAUAUGCCACAGUGUGCCAGAGGAAGUAUGAUGAAGGGAGAGUGUAUGCAGCAAAAUACAGCAGUCUUAACCAAUUGUCUUUAAAAUAUAUUCCCUUGCAAAUUCUCUAGCUAUGCAUAUGAAGAGCCUGAAGAUAAAGCUUUGUUACCUUUGGAGUAAAUCUACCUAUGGUUGUUUGUGUUUGUUUCAAUAAAUAAUAGGGGAAGUGAUGAGCUGUGGUAAAAAGAGGAUACUUUUGACAAGAUUGAAAAAUUAUGAAACACUCUCAGAGAGUUGGAAAGCAACUUGGGGAAAAGUAGUAAAGUUGCAAGCAUUAUUCAAUCCUCAUUUCAGGUAUUUGUCUUGAAUUUAAAGUUAAAGCAGUCAGCCAAAUUGUGAUUUUUCUCCAACAUCUUUGCGCAUUUGUAGAAAAGGCAGAAUGUUGGAUUCGACCAAUAUUAAGUUCAACUAGGUAAAUGUAACAUCAAAAAAAAACAGUUUGCUAAGUGAUAUUUGCAAGAAAUUGUUUAUAACGAUGGACUGUUAAUGAAUCUCAGCUUAGGAAAGAGGAAAAGAUAGGUAAAUAGAGACAAGGUAAAUUUAGCAUAUCAGUGAUACAUCAAUAAUAACUGUUGCAGAGGAAUUCUAGGAUACUGUAAGAAGUUAACUGAAACUAUAAGAAAUGACAAUCAGCCAGUGGUAUCUUUGCAAUUGUGAUUUCAAAGGUAAUAUAGAUCAUUGUGAUGACAAAGUCUAAGUGUUAUCUUUGGAACAGGUUACUGAGAUGGAGAAGAAGAGAUUGGUUAUGAACAUAGAUUGUUUAUUUUGUUCAAUUUAGUGGAAUUCUUGGAGCAGUAGCAUGUACAAGUUACCUUGGAAGGAGUUGGAGACACAAAGAUGGACAAGAUUCCGUUCCCUGCUUCAAGGAGCUCAGUAUAAAUAUGCAAAGUGCUACAGUAGGGAUACUAACACGGAAAGAAGGAUACCUAACCCAAUCAGGGAUCAGGUGAACGGACUUCGAAAACAACAUUUGUUUAUGUUGAACCACCAUUGCAUCCUGGGGAUGAAGGCUACUUGAUUGUGGUGGACAAGCUUUUUGAUGCACUGCUGGAUUCAGUUUUUCAGUAUUUUGUUGAGGAUUUUUGCAUCAAUGUUCAAGGAUAUUGGCCUGAAGUUUUUGUUGUUGUUGUGUUCUGCCAGGUUUUGGUAUCAAGAUAAUGCUAGCCUCAUAGAAUGAGUUAGGAAGGAGCCCUUCUUUUUUUAUUUUUUUGGGAUAGUUUUAGUAGAAAUGAUGCCAGCUCUUCUUUGUAUAUCUGGGAGAAUUCAGCUGUGAAUCCAUCUGGUCCUGGAUUUUAGAGGUUGGAGGCUAUUACUGCCUCAAUUUCAGAAUUCAUUAUUGGUCUGUUCAGGAAUUCAAUUUCUUCCUGGUUCAGUCUUGUGGGGGGUGGAGGAGGUGUAUAAGUCCAGGAAUUUAUCUAUUUCUUCUAGAUUUUCUAGUUUAUGUGCACAGAAGUGUUUAUAAUUUCUGAUGGUUGUUUGUAUUUCUGUGGGGACAGUGGCAAUACUCCCCUUAUCAUUUUUUAUUAUGUCUAUUUGAUUCUUCUCUCUUUUCUUCUUUAUUAGUCUAGCUAGAAGUCUAUCUGUUUUAUUAAGUUUUUCCAAAAAAUGGCUCCUGUAUUUGUCAAUCUUCUAAUGCUUUUUCCUUUGUAUCUCUCCUUCAGUUUGGCUCUGGUUUUUGUUAUUUCUUGACUUCUGUUAGUUUUGGGGCUUGUUUGCUCUUAGUUAUCUAGUUCUUUCAGUUCUGAUGUUAGGUUGUUAACUUGAGAUCUUUCUAGCUUUUUGAUGAGAGCAUUCACGACUAUAAAUUACCCUUUUAACACUGCUUUAGCAGUGUCCCAGAGUUUCUGGUAUGCAAACAAUAAAUGGAUUCAUCACAUAAACAGAACUAAAGACAAAAACCGUAUGAUUAUCUUAAUGCAGAAAAAGCCUUCAGUAAAAUUCAACAUCUCUUUAUGUUAAAAAAAAAUACUCUCAAUAAACUAGGUACUCAAGGACAAUACCUCAAAAUAAUAAGAGCCAUAUAUGACAAAACCACAGCCAAUAUCAUACUGAAUGGGCAAAAGCUGGAAGCAGUCACCUUAAAAACUGGCACAAGACAAGAACACCCUCUCUCACCACUCUUAUUCAACAUAAUGUUCAAAGUUCUGGCCAGGGCAAUCAGGCAAGAGAAAGAAAUAAUGGGCAUUCAAAUAGGAAGGGAGGAAGUCAAACUAUCCCUGUUUGCAGAUGACAUGAUCCUAUAUCUAGAAAACUCCAUCAUCUCAGCCCAAAAACUUCUUAAGUUGAUAAGCAACUUCAGCAAAGUCUCAGGAUAUAAAAUCAAUGUGCAAAAAUCACUAGCUUUUCUAUCUACCAGCAAUAGUCAAGCUGAGAAUCAAAUUACAAAUGAGUUCCCAUUCACAAUUGACAUAAGAAGAAAAAAACAUCUAGGAAUUCAGCUAACAAGGGAAGUGAAUGAUCUUUACAAGUUAAACUACAAACCACUGCACAGAGAAAUCAGACAUGACACAAACAAAUGGAAAAACAUUCCAUGUUCAUGGAUAGGAAGACUCAAUAUCACUAAAAUGGCCAUGCUGCCCAAAGCCACUUAUAGAUUCAAUACUCUUCCCAUUAAAUUACCAUUGACAUUCUUUGCAGAACUAGAAAAAAACUAUUUAAAUUCAUGUGGAACCAAAAAAGAGCCCAAAUAGCCAAGGCAACCCUAGGCAAAAAAAUAAAAAAAUAAAAACAAAACUGGAGGCAUAUCAUGCUACCUGACUUUAAACUAUACUACAGGCUUGCUACAGUAACCAAAACAGCAUGGUACUGAUACAAGAGCAGACACAUAGACCAAUGGAACAGAAUAGAAAACCCAGAAAUAAGACCACACACCUACAAUUAUCCAAUCUUCAACAAACCUGACAAAAGCAAGCAAUGAGAAAAGAAUUCCAUGUUGAAUAAAUGGUGCUGGGAUAACUGGCUAGCCAUAUGCAGAAAGUUGAAACUGGAACCCUUCCUUAUACAAUAUACAUAAAUUAACUCAAGAUCAAUUAAAGAUGUAAAUGUAAAACCCCAAACCAUAAAAAGCCCUAGAAGAAAACCUAGGUAGUACUAUUGAAGACAUAGGCAUGGGCAAAGAUUUCAUGAUAAAGAUGCCAAAAGCAAUUGCAACUAAAGCAAAAAUUAGCAAAUAGGAUCUAAUUAAAUGAAAGUGCUUAUGCACAGCAAAAGAAACUAUCAACAAACUACAAAGACAACCUACAGAAUGGGAGAAAAAUUUUGCAAGCUAUGCAUCUGACAAAAAUCUAAUAUCCAGCAUCUAUAAGGAACUAAAAUUUACAAGAAAAAAAAACAACCCAUUAAAAAGUGGGCAAAGGACAUGAACAGACACAUCUCAAAAGAAGACAUAGAUGCACCCAAGAAUUAUAUGAAAAAUAAAAAAGCUCAACAUCACUGCUCAUUAAAGAAAUGCAAACCAAAACCACAGUGAGAUACCACAUUACCCCACCAGUUAGAAUGGCUAUUAUUUAAAAGUCAAAAAACAACAGAUCCGGUGAGGUUAUGGAGAAAAAUGAUCACUUAUACACUGUUGAUGGAAGUAUAAAUCAGUUCAACCAUUGUGGAAGGUAGUGUGACAAUUCCUCAAAGACCUAAAGAUAGAACUACCAUUUGAACCAGCAAUCCCAUUACUAGGUAUAUACCCAAAGGAAUAUAAAUUGUUCUAUUAUAAAGAUGUAUACACAUGUAUGUUCAUUGCAGCACUGUUCACAAUAGCAAAGACAGGUUAUCAACCUAUAUGCCCAUCAAUGAGAGAUUGGAUAAAGAAAAUGUAGUGCAUAUAUAUCAAGGAAUAUUAUGCAGCCAUAAAAAAGAAUGAGAUCGUGUCUUUGCAGGAACAUGGAUGGAGCUGAAUGCCAUUAUCUUUUUCAAACUAACACAGAAAGAGGAAACUAAAUACCAUAUAUUCUCACUUUUAAGUGGGAGCUAAAUAAUGAGAACACAUGGACACAUAGAGGAAAACAACACACGAUGGGGCCUACUGGAGGACGGAGGAUGGGAGGAGGGAAAAUAACCAAUGGAUACUAAGCUUAAUACCAGGUGAUGAAAUGAUCUGUACAACAAAUGCCCAUUACACAUAUUUACCUAUAUAACAAUCUUUGCACAUCCUGCACACGUAACCCUGAACUUAAAAGUUAAAAAAAAGAAAGAAAGAAAGAAAGAAAGAAAGAAAGAAAGAAAGAAAGAAAGAAAGAAAGAAAGAAAGAAAACAUUGACAAAGACCAAAUUGCAAGACCAAGGGUGAUGCCUUUAUGAACUGCAGACAGUUGGGUUUUCCUCAAGGCUAGAGGGUAUAGUGAAAGAAGAGUCUAAGGAGGAAGCAAGGGUCAAAUAAGAGAAGUUUUGUAUGAUAUGGCAAAGGCCUAAUGGGGGCUUUGUAUUCUUUGGAAUACAAAGACUGUUUCAAGCAGGAAUAAUUUUACUGAAAUGGCUGACAGCCUGCAGUGUAGAUAGAAGAUGGAGGAAGGUAGUAGCCACAGUUUUUUGGAGAAAGAAAAUAAGACCAGUUUAAAUUAUAAGAUUAGAGUGCAUGUGUUACAAGGUCUUUACUCUUAAAUUUAGAUUCAGGCAAGGUCAUCAAAGUUUGCAGAAUAGGUGGAGGGUAAUGCAUUAAAGUGCAGAUCAUGAAACCUGAAUUGCUUCCUUUGUCCACUUGUUAGCAUUUUGUAGAACCCAGCCCACCAGGAAACAUAAAAUACCAGAAUGUAAUAUCCAUGACGGUUUGUCUAUUUUGUUCGCUGUUUCUCCACUACCCAGUACGUGCUGGGCCCUUAAUAAACAUUAACUGAAUAAAAUCACUGAAGGAAUUAAAGUCUGUCUUUAGCAUCUGAUCUCCUCCUAUGCUGCCUUCAUUCUAAGGCCUCUUGCCUAAGUAACCUCAUGCUAGGUGUGAACCACUUAUAAUUUUUCCCCCAAAUUCUCCUUUACUUGUGAACCUUUUCAUAUUUUACAAAACGAAGAUCAGGCUCUUGCCCUCCCCAUGUGUUAGCUCUAUGACUUUGGGCACAUUCAUUUGUUUUUUUAUGCCUAAGUCUCUGUAAAAUAGAGAUAGUAGCUAAUGCCCAUUGAGCAUUGGGCACUGACACUUAGAACCAGUCACUGUUCUAAGAACUUUAAAUGCCUUAACACAGUUAAUCCUGAGUACCCUCCUAUGUGGGCUAUACUACUGUCAUUCACCUAUUACAGAUGAGGAACCUUAGCCAAGAUAAGUCACAAAGCAAGUAAGUGACAAAGUCUAGAUCUGAACUCAGUCCAGCUCCUGAGACCAUGCUCUUAAUCAUUAUGCAUACUUGCUGUCCUGUGACACUACCACUGUCAUUGGACAGUUGUGAAGAUUACAUGAGAAUAAUCUACAUAAAAACACCUAGAAAAGUGCCCUACUAUAUUAAGUACCCAAUAGAAGUUAGAUUAUUUUGUUGUUAUUGUUUUACUCUGUUUAUAGCUUUUAGAAUCUUAUAUGUUCAUUGAUAGAUGAGUCACUAUUUCUCGAAGUAAAUUAGAUUAUUUCAUUUUAGGCAGAUCUAAUUAGAAGAAAGAAAGUCAUUGUUCGUUUGAUACUCACUUACACUUAACUUCCUGCAACUUUCCUCAUUGUUUCUAGUUCUGAACUGGGGAUAAAGAGAGGCAAGCCUAGCUCCACUUUCUUACCCCAACCCUCACAUAUUCAAAGAAGAGUGUUUUUGACACCUACAUAGUCCAUUCUUCAGUCUAAGCAGUUGAAUCACUUGCUGUUUCUCUUAUGGCAUGGUUUCCAGAUACUCUGAUUUGAUGCAGACACCUUUAUACCUGGGCAUCCAGAUGAGAACAAAAUGUUAUAACUCAUAUGUGGAAUACUAGCUGCAUAUAGAACAAGACAUUGAGAGAAAAGACUUGAAGAUAGUCCUGUCAGUCUGAAUUAUAUUCUCAGACACAGUUAUGAGGCCUUCCUUGUAUGGAGUAGGUAGUAAUUCUUGACUGAAUGACUUCAGUUAUAAACAAAUGUGUUAAUGAAUCCUCAGCUUACUCUUGACUUAAAUCCCCAAUCUUGUUCACAUGUACUUUUGCUUCUGCUGACUUCUGAGAUUGGUUUAGGAAACAUAUGGCAGGACAUUGUAUUAGUCCCUAUUAAACUUCAUUUUGUUUGACCUAUCCAGUCUUCCAACAUUUCAGAUCAUCUUGGAUACUAAUUUUGUCAUUUCAUGUAUUGUCAUUCUCUCCAAACAUCGUGUCAUCUGUAGAUUUCUCCUCUGGGCCAUUAAUACAAUCCUCUGAGUAUUUAAAUGGAAUAUAUUAUGCUCAUAUUCUAUUAAAAUAUUCAUAAGGGCUUAUUGCUUAAAGUGUUUUAAUUAAUUAUAAAUCAAUCACAUCUUUUUAGCAGUGCAUUUUAUCAUGAAUUGUCAAUAGGAAUAUCUGCUUAUUCAUUCAAUAAUUAUUAAAAUAUAAAAAUAUUUUUUCUAAAAUAUCACCCAAAUUUGAGUAAUGAAAAUUUUUUUUGAAGUUGUAAAAAUUUAUGAACACUUUGGUGGGGAUAGGCUUCUGAAAUAAAUUUGAAAAACUUAAAAUUAAUGUAAACUGAAAAUAGGCUCAGACCCCAUGGUGCUAACCUUUUCAUCACCAAAGAAAUUAACUGAAGAAGCUAAACAGUCUCAAGGCAUGUAGUACAUUACUAUUGAGAGAAUGUACAAGUAGGCUUGUCAUCAAGAGGUGAACAAUUUUAGUUAUUUAAUUUCGUGUAUCAGAAACAACUUCAACCAGUUUCUAUGAAAUUCAUGAAUAAAAGAUUUCCCACUUGUGAGAACUAAAGGGCCAGUAAUAAACCAAGUGUAUUGUUAAAUAAAAGACGUAAAUAUAAAUGGAAGAAAGUUUCUUAAAAUGAAGUCAAGCUUCUUUGGUGGGUUGCAAACUCUAAAUGUUAUUAAAGAGUAAAAUUAAAAAGAAAUUAUAAGUUAUACCCUGAAAUAUUGAUGAUCUCAAAAUUUAGAAAAAAAUUUAAUAACUGGAAUAUCUCAAUAAAAUAUCAUAAUUAUGUCACUUUGGUUAGAGAAUAUAGCUUUAAAAAUUUUAUUAGCUAAUUUGCAUUUAUUAAUUUGAGAAAACCUUCACCUUCAUUAAUUCAGAUUAGAAUUUUAAUUGUAAAACAGGUUUCAUUCUGUUGCCUUCCAGUUGUAUAUUGCUUCUGGGAGUAACAAGUUUUUUUAAAUUACAGUGUCUACCAUGUAAUCUCAUACAAGUUUAAAAUUUAAAGGUCUCUUGGCUGGGCACAGUGGCUCACACCUGUAAUCCCAGCACUUUGGGAGGCUGGAGUAGGCAGAUCAUGAGGUUAAGAGAUUGAGACCAUCUUGGCCACAUGGUGAAACCCCAUCUCUACUAAAAACACAAAAAUUAGCUGGUAGUGGUGGUACGCACCUGUAAUCCCAGCUACUCAGGAGGCUAAGACAGAAGGAGGCAGAGGGUGCAGUGAGCUGAGAUCACGCCACUGCACUCCAGCCUGGUGACAGAGUGAGACUCCAUCUCAAACAAGCAAACAAAUAAAUAAAUAAAUAAAGUUCUCUUAUAUUUUACUAGUUUUACUUUGACAAAAUUAGAUAAAUGGCAGAUUAUUUUUUUCAUAAGUAACAUUUCUCUUAACCUCAUUUCAUCUUAACCUCAUAGGUAUAAAAAUAUAUACAAUCAAACUCUAUCAUCCAAAUUGGAAGAAUAAUAGUAAUUCAUGUAGUCAAAUAAACAGGCAGAAAUAAAUUAGGAAAGCCAGAAGAAUCCCCAGACCUUCUGAAAGAAGGGCACUCAAAUACAGUGAGUGCCCAAACUGUGGAAAUGGGAAAGGGAGAUCCUCCACUCCUGAACACACACACACACACCAGGGAGCUUAAAGGUCUAGAUUAUGGAGGAACAUUCUGACCUUACAUGGAGCUGAGUCCAUUUAGAGAGCCAAGAAAAAUACAGGGUUAGAGGAAACAGUGGGGAAAUCCCUGUAAAGUCAUUGGGUCCCAUAGGAAGCAAUUUCUGCUUGACCUCACAGGGAUCCUUAAGCAGGGCUGCUUAAGGAUCCUCAGGCCAGAGGCACUGAGUAAAGGUCACAGGGAAAAGGAAACCUCUAAUUGAACUUUAUAACAAUUUGAACUGAUUGAGAAGUCUCCUGGCCAGAACUCAGGGGAGGGUGUGAAUCAGUGUGCAGACUCCAUAAGUUGGGGAAGAAGGAAAAAACCCUGCUUACUUUUGCAGCUGGGAGGCAGGUAGCCAGAGGCAAGUUCUCAGCUCUGCUGGCCCACUGCCUGGAAAGAGACUGUACUGUUGGAAGGGGCACAGUGGGAGUGAGACCAGCCCUUUGAAUUGCAUGGGAACUGUGGGAGGCCUGUAACUGUUGUUUUCCCCCCACUUCCCUGACAACGUACAUGACACAGUAGAGGCAGCCAUAAUCCUCCUGGGAACAUAACUCCAUUGACCUGAGGCCCUCACCCUCGUCCUUCAUAGCAGACACAGCAAGACCUGCCCAAAUAAAGUCUGAGCUCAGACAUGCCUAGCCUUGCUCCCACCUAAUUGUCCUUCUCUACACACCAUGAUAAAUAAAGACAAAGGGCAUAUACUCUUGGUAGUUCUAGGGCCCCACCCAACACCUGUUUCUCCUCAUACUACCACAGCUGAUAAUCUUUUUAAAGUGCCAUCUCCUAGCAGGACACCAAACUGCAAAAAAAUAGUACUGUUUAUUAUAUUGAUUGGUGGUUGAUUAUAAAUAACCAAAGCUCAGGACCCUCACAGAGUCCAUUUUACCACCUGCCACCUCUACCAGAGCAGGUGCCAGUAUCCAGAGAGACCCAUAGAUAUUCAUAUAACAGGACUCUGUACAGAUAACUCCCAGUCCCAGCCCAGAGCUUGGUAGACUUGCUGGGUGGCUGGAUCCAGAAGUGAGAUAAUAAUCACUACAGCACAGCUCUCAGGAAUCCAUAUCUCUAGGAAAAGGGGGAGAGUAUUACAUCUAGGAAACACCCUGUAGAUCAAAAGGAACUGAACAGCCUUGAGUCUUAGACUUUCCCUUCAACAGAGCCUAACCAAAUGAAAAGGAAACCAACUCUGGUAAUAUGACAAAACAAGGUUUUUUUAACACCCCCCCAAAAUCACAGUAGCUCACCAGCAAUGGAUCCAAACCAAGAUGAAAUCCCUGAUUUACCUGAAAAAUAAUUCAGAAGGUUAGUUAUUAAGCUAAUCAGGGAGGCACCAGAGAAAGGUGAAGCUCAAUGUAAGGAAAUCAAAAAAUGAUACAAGAAAUGAGGGGAGAAAUAUUCAGUGAAAUAGACAGCAAUGAAAAACAAUCAAAACUUCAGGAAACAAUGGAUGCACUUAUAGAAAUGCAAAACCCUCGGGAAAGUCUCAGCAAUAGAAUUGAACAAGCAGAAGAAAGAACUUCAGAGCUCAAAGACAAAGUUUUCAAGUUAACCCAAUCCAACAAAGACAAAGAAAAAGAAUAAGAAAAUAUGAACAAAGACAUCAAGAAGUCUUGGAUUAUGGUAAAUGACCAAACCUAAGAAUAAUCAGUAAAAAAAGAAGAGAAACGUAAAAGUUUGGAAAAUAUAUGUGGGGAAAUAAUUGAAGAAAACUUCCGUAGCCUUGCUAGAGAACUAGACAUUCAAACACAAGAAGCUCAAAGAACAUCUGAGAAAUUCGUCACAAAAAGAUCAUCACCCAGGCAGGUGAUGAUCUUUAGAUCUUUAGAUAACCUGUUAUCAGGUUAUCUAAAGUUAUGACAAAGGAAAGAAUCUUAAGAGCUGUGAGGCAAAAUCACCAGGUCACCUACAAAGGAAAACCCAUCAGAUUAACAGCAUAUUUCUCGGCAGAAACCCUGCAAGCUAGAAAGGACUGGGGCCCUAUCUUUUAGCCUCUUCAAACAAAACAAUUAUCAGACAAGAGUUUUGUACCCAGCAAAACUAAGCUUCAUAAAUGAAGGAAAGAUACAGUCUUUUCCAGACAAACAAAUGCUGAGAGAAUUUGCCACUAUCAAGCCAGCAAUAAAAGAACUGCUGAGGGGGUUGGCAGUGCCGUGUCAUGGAGGCUCAGUAUCUGAGCAGCCAUUGAAGGGGAAGGAACUGUGGGGGUGUGUGUAUGUGUGUGCAUGCAUGCAUGCAUGUGUGUGCGUGCUAGUGUGUGGACAAGGAGGUGGGGGCAGCUGAGUUAGAGUCCCAACUCUUGGAUUCCAUUUGCUAUUCUCUUCUUUCUCCCCCACACCUAUCUGGUGGUAGUGGGCGUUUAUAUUUGCAUUCCUUUUCAUUCAUUUCUGAAUCCUAAAAAUUAUGGGUUGGGGAUGGUGGGAAAGUCAGGAAAGGGAAAGGAAGGAGAGUAGUAGCUGAAGAGCAAGAGGAGGACAUGAAGAUGAAGAAGAAGAUUAACCUGGAGUUAAGGAACAGAGCCCCGGAGGAGGUGACAGAGUUAGUCCUUUUUAACUGCCUGUGUGUUAAUGGGGAAAUUGAAGGCCUGAAUGAUACUUUCAAAGAACUAGAAUUUCUGAGUAUGGCUAAUGUGGAACUAAGUUCACUGGCCCAGCUUCCCAGCUUAAAUAAACUUCGAAAAUUGGAGCUUAGUGACAAUAUAAUUUCUGGAGGAUUGGAAGUCCUGGCAGAGAAAUGUCCAAAUCUUACCUACCUCAAUCUGAAUGGAAACAAAAUAAAAGAUCUCAAUACAGUAGAAGCUCUGCAAAAUCUUAAAAAUUUAAAAAGUCUUGACCUGUUUAACUGUGAAAUCACAAACCGGGAAGAUUAGAGAGAAAGUAUUUUUGAACUGCUGCAGCAAAUCACAUACUUAGAUGGAUUUGAUCAGGAGGAUAAUGAAGCACCAGACUCUAAAGAGGAGGAUGAUGAAGAUGAUGAGGAAGAGGAAAAUGAAGCUGGUCCACCUGAAGGAUAUGAGGAAGAGGAGGAAGAAGAGGAAGAGGAGGAUGAGGAUGAGGAGAAAGAUGAAGAUGAAGCAGGUUCAGAGUUGGGAGAGGGAGAAGAGGAAGUAGGUCUCUCAUACUUAAUGAAAGAAGAAAUUCAGGAUGAAGAAGAUGAUGAUGACAAUGUUGAAGAAGGAGAAGAAGAGGAAAAAGAAGAAGAAAGUCUUCGAGGGGAGAAGAGGAAACGAGAUGCUGAAGAUGAUGGAAAGGAAGAAAAUGACUAGAUCAUUCUAAGACCAGAUUCUCUAAUAUUUCUGAGUGUGCGAUACAGUGAUCACGUCUUUGUUUCACAUAACAGAAGAUAAUGUGUAACUUUUUAUAGGAAAAGUGUGGUUUUGCUAUUUUUGCCUUAUCAUUCCAAAUAAGAACUAGUCUGUUAAUGAUUAUAUUUUAUGUAGAGAAAAAUUUUCAUUAACUAUCAUUGUCGAAUUCCCUAGCAAUUUAUUUAGACUUUUCAUUUUUAAAAUUCAAGCUUACUGUAUUAGGCAUUUUUGGCUCAUAAUUAAAACAUCACUUUUACACAGUUGUAGUUUGAUGGAUUUCAUUCCUUAUAUAUAUAUUAACUGAAAUUACAGUUUGCUGUAAUAUGAAAUGACAAUAGUCUCUUGAGUGGUAAGUUGGUUAUUUUUAAGAGGUAAUCCAGGGAUCUUUAGUUUGAAGGCAGUUACCUUUUUUUUGAGUAAGAGUGUUUGGUUGCUUUUCUGUCACAAGUAACUUGGAAAGUAGAAGCAGAAUAGUAAAAGUUCUAUUCAGCGACAUCGUUCACAGGUUUUGUGGAGGUUCUAUUCAGUAACAUAGUUCAUGGAUUUCAUGGUGACUGAUAAUUUCAUCUUUGAAGGACUGAUUUUAUUUUUGAAGGAAAAAUCGCUUAUACUAAGUCCAGAGACAUGCAGGUGAACCCUUUCAUCAGGCUGCAAAUCAUGACAUGCCGAUGGUGGUUUAUUUUAUUGUGUUUUAGGUGUGCAUUCUUUUUCUUCUUAGCAAUUUCUUUAUAAUCACCUCCCCUUCUUGAUUCUCUUCCCUUCUGCUCUCUCAAAAGAAAGUUGGGAAACUUGUGAAUACCCAGGAAAACUUUUAGUCUUAUACCUCAACUACCUUUCAGUCCUGUCUGGGUUUAUAUAAGUGAAGUGAAAGAAAUUGACUAUUUUCUGACCUAAGAAUAUAUUAUCAACACAGUUUUAUGCAGUAAGCUCUGCUUACCAUAAAUGUUUCUUGGUCGACAACAUCUAAGAGUAUAUUAGUAGGAUGAAGAAAGAAAAGCAGGGGGUGGUUUUGGAAGCAGUAUUAAUGUUCCUCAAAAGUCAGAACAAUUGCCUGUUGAUAAUCAACAGCCUGUUGAUAAUAAGACAUUAAAGUCAAAUUUUAAAGUUGGCUCCUCAAAUGUUUUGGAUACCACUCUGCAAAGUAUUCCUAAUUUUUCUGAGCAGAACCUUUAAUUCCUACAGUUUUAAAGCAUUACCAGAUAAAAGAAUAGCAUUUAAUUGGAAUAUAUUAAGCAGUUGAAAAAUAUUUAAAACUAAAUUGACAUUAAAAUUAAGAUUUGUUUUCAAGUGUAUGUCCAUUAUAAGUAGAAAAAUAUUUGGGAUGUGAGUGUGUGUUUUCUUACAUGGCUACUAAAUAAAACAUAACAAAUUGACAAGUGUAUCUCCCCUUUUGCUAUGGCAGCUGAAUGUUCAAGGCAAUGGCUUUUAAAUCUUGACUAUCUAAAUUUUUUCCCUUUGUUUUGAAUAUUUGUAAGUUUUUAAAAAGUUAGUGUUGGCAGAUUGAUUGAAGUUAUGCUUCUGUACCUGGGACAUAUUUAAAUACUGAGUAUAGUACUGCUGCUACUGCUUCUACAAUGUAAAAUGUGUGACUUGAUGUUUAAACAUAAAAAUUAUGAUGUUGUGGCUGGGCGCGGUGGCUCACGCCUGUAAUCCCAGCACUUUGGGAGGCCGAGGCAGGUGAAUCACGAGGUCAAGAGAUAGAGACCAUCCUGGUCAACAUGGUGAAACCCCGUCUCUACUAAAAAUACAAAAAAUUAGCUGGGCAUGGUGGCGCAUGCCUGUAAUCCCAGCUACUCAGGAGGCUGAGGCAGGAGAAUUGCCUGAACCCAGGAGGCAGAGAUUGCGGUGAGCCAAGAUCAUGCCAUUGCACUCCAGCCUGGGUAACAACAGCGAAAUGCCAUCUCAAAAAAAAAAAAUUAUGAUGUUACUGUGGAGAAACUAAAAAAGCUGCACAACUGACUGAAAUAAAACACUUGGAAUAAGUGUAGUGAGGAAUCUCCAAAAAACUAACAGUUUUCUUCUGCUUUUAAAAAUUGAAAUGCCCUGUUACAGUUCUUAACAAUUCUCAUUACAUACUAUGCCAGAUUACAAAAAUACUUAUUUUUAAAAUGAAAUCUAUAUAUUAACUUUCUUAUCAAUCAUCUUACUGUGCAAUCAAAAUUACAGUACUUUGGUUUGAAAACAACACUUAGAGCCUCCAGGUAACUUUUAAGACUUACUUAGCUUUGUGGGUGGUAUUUUCAUGCAAGUAAGUAAGGGUGGGUUUUAUAUUUUGUAGAAGUUUGUGGUCCUAUUUUAAUGCUCUUUGUAUGGCAGUAUGUAUAUAGUGUGUCAAGUUCCUCAAGAAUCUCCUUUAAAACUUUGAAGUUAAUACUUUUGUGCAACUGUGUUUUGAAUAAAGCCAUGUUUUGUUGUGUUAAAAACAAAACAAAACAACAACAAAAAAGAACUGCUAAAGGAGCUCUAAAUCUUAACUCAUGGAAACACAUCAAAACUGAACCUCUUUAAAGCAUAAAUCACACAGGACGUAUAAAACAAAUAUGAUUAAUUGACUAAUAGCAAGAUUAAUGGACUAGAACCUCACAUCUCAAUACUAACAUUAAACGCAAAUGGUCUAAAUGCUCCACUUAAAAGAUACAGAAUGGUAGAAUGGAUAAUAAUUCACCAACAAAAUAUGUGCUGCCUUCAAGAGACAAACCUAACACAUAAGGAGUCCAUAAAUUUAAGGUAAAGGGAUGGCAAAAGACAUCCCAUGCAAAUGGACACCAAAUGCAAACAGCAAUAGCUUCUUACAUUAGACAAAACAAACUUUAAAGCAACGGCAGUUAAUAAAGACAGAGAGGGGCAUUAUAUAAUAAUAAAAGGCCUUGUCCAACAGGAAAAUAUCACAAUCCUAAAUACAUACUCACCUAACACUGGAGCUCCCAAACUUAUAAAACAAUUACUGCUAGACCUAAGAAAAGAUAGAUAGCAACAUAAUAAUUGUGGGGGGUCUUUGAUAUUCCACUGACAGCAAUACAUGGGUCAUCAAGACAGAAAAUCAACAAAGAAAAAAUGGAUUUAAACUAUAUCCUAGAACAAAUAGACUUAACAGAUAUUUAGAUGGCAUUCCACCCACCAACCACAGAAUAUACAUUCUAUUCAACAGCACCUGGAACUUUCUCCAGGAUAGACCAUAUGAUAGGCCACAAAAUGAGCCUUAAUACAUUCGAUGAAAUUGAAAUUAUAUCAAGCUGUCUUUCAGACCACAGUGGAAUUAAAUUGGAAAUCAACUGCAAAAGGAAUCGUCAAAACCAUGCAAAUACAUCGAAACUAAAUAACCAGCCUUUGAAUGAUCAUUGGGUCAAAAAUGAAAUCAAGACGGAAAUUUAAAAAUCCUUCAAACUUAAUGACAAUAGUGAUUGCAGCCUAUCAAAACCUCUGACAUACAGCAAAGGCAGUACUAAGAGGAUAGUUCAUAGCCCUAAACACCUACAUCAAAACGUCUGAAGGAGCACAAACAGACAAUCUAAAGUCACACCUCAAGGAACUAGAGAAAUAAGAACAAACCAAACCCAAACCUAGCAGAAGAAAGGAAAUGACUGAGAUCAGAGCAGAACUAAAUAAAAUGGAAAUAAAAUAAUAAAAAAGACAACUAAAACAAAAAGCUGGUUCUUUGAAAAGAACCACAUAAACAGAAUCAAAUAAAAUUGAGAGACCAUUAGCAAGAUUAACCAAGAAAAGGAGAGAGAACAUCCAGAUAAGCUCAAUUUGAAAUAAAAUGGGAGCUAUUACCACUGACAUCACGGAAAUACCAAAGAUUCUUCAAGGCUAUUACGAACACCUUUAUGCAUGUAAACUAGAACAUCUAGAGGAGAUGCUUAAAUUCCUGGGAAGAUAUAACCUUCCUAGCUUAAAUCAGAAAGAAUUAGAUACUCUGAACAGACCAAUAACAAGCAGCAAGUUUAAAAUGUUAACAAAAGAAUUACCAACCAAAAAAAAAAAGUCCAGGACAAGACAGAUUCAAAGCAGAAUUCUACCUGAUAUUCAAAGAAGAAUUGGUAGCAAUUCUACUGACACUAUUCAUCAAGAUAAAGAGGGAACUCUCCCUAAAUCAUUGUAUGAAGCCAGUAUCACCCUAAUACCAAAAUCAGGAAAGGACAUAUCAAAAAAAAAGAAAACUACAAAUGAAUAUCUCUGAUGAACACAGAUGCUAAAAUCCUUAACAAAAUACUAGCUAACUGAAUUCAACAACAUAUCAAAAAGAUAAUCCUCCAUGAUCAAGUAGGUUUUAUACCAGGGGUGCAGGGAUGGUUUAACAUACACAAGUCAACAAAUGUGAUGCACCACAUAAACAGAAUCAAAAACAAAAAUCACAUGAUUAUCUCAAUAGAUGUCAAAAAAGCAUUCAACAAAUUCAGUAUCCCUUUGUGAUUAAAACUCAGCAAAACUGACAUACAAGGACAUACCUCAAUGUAAUAAAAGCCAUCUAUGACAAACCCAUAGCCAACAUAAUACAGAAUAGAGAAAAGUUGAAAGCAUCCCCUCUGAGAACUGGAACAAGAUGAGGAUGCCCACUCUCACCAUUCCUCUUCAGCAUAGCACUGGAAGUCCUAGCCAGAGCAAACAGACAAAAGAAAUAAAUACAGGGUAUCCAAAUUGGUAAAGAGGAAGUCAAACUGUGGCUGUUUGCUGAUGAUAUGAUUGUUUAUCUAGAAAACCCCAAAGACUCCUCCAGAAAGCUCCUAGAACUGAUAAAAGAAUUUAGCAAAAUUUCCAGACACAAAAUUAAUGUAUACAAAUCAGUAGCUCUUCUAUAUACCAACAACAACCAAGCAGAGGAUCACAUCAAGAACUCAAACCCCUUUACAAUAGCUGCAAAAAACAUUAAAAGCUUAGGAGUGUACCUAACCAAGGAGGUGAAAGACCUCUACAAGGAAAACUACAAACCACUGCUGAAAGAAAUCAUAGAUGACACAAACAAAUGGAAACACAUUUUAUGCUCAUGGAUGGGUGGAAUCAAUAUUGUGAAAAAGCCAUACUGACAAAAGCAAUCUACAAAUUUAGUGCAAUUCCCAUCAAAAUACCACCAUCAUUCUUCAUAGUAUUAGAAAAAACAAUCCUAAAAUUCAUAUGGAACCAAGAAAGAGCCCACAUACCCAAAGCAAAACUAAGCAAAAAGGUCAAAUCUGGAGGCAUCACACUACCUGAUUUCAAACUAUAAGGCCAUACUACUCGCCAAAACCGAAUGGUACUGGCAUAAAAAUCGGCACAUAUACCAGUGGAACAGAAUAGAGAACUCAGAAAUAAAUCCUAAUACUUAAACUGCCAACCGAUCUUUGACAAAGCAAACAAAAACAUAAAGUGGAGAAAGGACACUCUAUUCAACAUCAAAUAGUGCUGUGAUAAUUGGCAAGCCACAUUUAGGAGAAUGAAACUGGAUCCUCAUCUCUCAUCUAAUACAGAAAUCAACUCAAGAUGGAUCAAGGACUUAAAUUUAAGACCUGAAACUGUAAAAAUUCUAGCAGACAACAUUGGAAAAACCCUUCUAGACAUUGGCUUGUGCAAUGAUUUCAUAACCAAGAACCCAAAAGCAAAUGCAAUAAAAACGAAGAUAAGUAGCUGGGACUUGAUUAAACUAAGGAGCUCUUGCAUGGCAAAAGGAACAGUCAGCAGAGUAAACAGAUAAACCAUGGAGGAAAUCUUCACAAUCUAUACCUCUGACAAAGGAGUAAUAUGCAGAAUCUACAACAAACUCAAACUAAUUAGCAAGAAAAAAACAAUCCCAUCAAAAAGUGGGCUGAGGACAUGAAUAGACAAUUUUAUAAAGAAGAUAUACAAAUGGCUAGCAAACAUGAAAAAAUACUCAGUGUCACUAAUGAUCAGGGAAAUGCAAAUCAAAACCAGAAUGUGAUACCACCUUACUCCUGCAAGAAUGGCCAUAAUAAAAAAUAAUAGAUGUUGGCCUGGAUGCAGUGAAAGGGGAAUACUUUUACACUGCUGGUGGGAAUGUAAACUAGUACAACCACUAUGGAAAACUGUGGAGAUUCCUUAAAGAACUAAAAGUAGAACUACCAUUCGAUCCAGCAAUCCCACUACUACAUAUUUACCUAGAAGAAAAGAAGUCAUUAUACUGAAAAAGAUAUUUCCACUUGAAUGUUUAUAGCAGCACAAUUUGCAAUUGCAAAAUGUGGAACCAACCCAAAUGCCCAUCAGUGAGUGGAUAGGGAAACUGUGAUAUAUAUAUAUACCAAUGAGUGGAUAGGGAAACUGUGGUGUGUAUACACACACACACACAAUGGAAUACUACUUAGCCGUAAAAUGAAAUGAAAUUAAUGGCAUUCGCAGCAACCUGGAUGAGAUUAGAGACCAUUCUAAGUGAAGUAACUCAGGAAUGGAAAACCAAACAUUGUAUGUUCUCACUCAUAUGAUGAGAGCUAAGCUAUGAGGAUACAAAGGCAUAAGAAUAACACAAUGGACUUUGGGAACUCAGGGGGCAAGGGUAGGAAAGGGUGAGAGAUAAAAGACCACAAAUUGGGUGUCAUGCAUACUGCUUGGGUGCUUGGGUGAUGGGUGCACCAAAAUCUCACAAAUAACCACUAAAUAACUUACUCAUGUAACCAAACACCACCUGUUCCCCAAUAGCCUAUGGAAAUAUAAAAUAAAAUAAAAGACAUUUAAAGACUGAAUAUGGAUGCCAGUUCACAUCAAAACUGGAAGGAAUGUUUAGGGAUAUGAGCAUCUCAAACACAAUGAUGGAUGAAUUCAGGCAACAUCUUCAGGCAACUGGUGUAUCUUUAGGCGGUGUUGAUCUUACAGUCCGGGUGCUCACGACAGGAUAUUGGCCCACUCAGUCAGCCACACCAAAAUGCAACAUCCCACCAGCACCAAGACAUGCUUUUGAGAUAUUCAGAAGGUUCUACUUAGCCAAACACAGUGGUCGACAGCUCACACUCCAGCAUCAUAUGGGUUCUGCAGAUCUCAAUGCCACAUUUUAUGGACCAGUUAAAAAGGAAGAUGGAUCUGAAGUUGGUGUUGGAGGUGCACAAGUAACUGGCUCUAAUACAUGGAAGCACAUACUGCAAGUCUCUACUUUCCAGAUGACCAUAUUAAUGCUCUUUAAUAAUAGAAAAAAAUACACGUUUGAGGAAAUUCAGCAAGAGACAGAUAUCCCUGAAAGAGAGCUUGUUAGAGCCCUACAGUACCUCGCCUGUGGUAAACCAACACAGCAGUUUCUUACAAAAGAACCCAAAUCAAAGGAAAUAGAAAAUGGUCAUAUAUUUACAGUUAAUGACCAAUUCACAUUUAAACUACACAGAGUCAAGAUUCAAACAGUUGCUGCCAAACAAGGUGAAUCCGACCCAGAGGAAAGAAACAAGACAGAAAGUAGAUGACGACAGAAAACAUGAGAUAGAAGCUGCUAUAGUGCAGAUAAUGAAAUCUAGAAAAAAGAUGCAGCACAAUGUUCUAGUAGCAGAGGUAACUCAGCAGUUGAAGGCUCGAUUCUUACCAAGUCCAGUUGUUAUUAAGAAACGUAUUGAAGGACUUAUUGAGAGAGACUAUUUGGCACGAACACCUGAGGAUCGCAAAGUAUACACAUAUGUAGCAUAAAAUGCGUUCAGAAAUUUGAUUUAUUCUUGGACUGUACUCUUCACAUGGACUGGAAAGUUCUUUUAAAUCAUUAAAUAUUAAGACGACCAUCUCUUCUAUUAAAUUACAGUACAUAUUCUAGACCAUUCAGAUCAAGCCUUUACUCCCUUCGAGAGUUUUCAACAUCAAUUGAUUGAGCUUCAGGCUUUACAACGUUUAUCCCUGUAGAGAUCAUCUUUACAGUUCCUUGGGAAAACGUGAAUGUGCUGCAUUUUGUUUUCUUUACUGUAUGAAAACAGGAAAAAAAAAACAAAAAUUUAGACAAUACAGCUCAUUAAAAUAAAAUUGUUGGAU